AUGGGUCAGAGUCCCCUUUUGCGGCUGCCGGUGGCGGAGCAGGUUCAGGGAGUGGUGGCAACCAGCGGCAGCAACAGGAAGGAACAGCUUACCAAGUCUACAAAAGCUACAAACAAAUACUACAAAAACUCAAGCAAGGACGAUCUAGUUUUGAGGGCGACACUAGACUCAAUCACUAGAAUGGGAUAA
rnacentral:rRNA from 1 species